GAUGAACGCUGGCGGCGUGCCUAAUACAUGCAAGUCGAGCGAACAGAUAAGGAGCUUGCUCCUUUGACGUUAGCGGCGGACGGGUGAGUAACACAUGGGUAACCUACCUAUAAGACUGGGAUAACUUCGGGAAACCGGAGCUAAUACCGGAUAAUAUUUCGAACCGCAUGGUUCGAUAGUGAAAGAUGGUUUUGCUAUCACUUAUAGAUGGACCCGCGCCGUAUUAGCUAGUUGGUAAGGUAACGGCUUACCAAGGCGACGAUACGUAGCCGACCUGAGAGGGUGAUCGGCCACACUGGAACUGAGACACGGUCCAGACUCCUACGGGAGGCAGCAGUAGGGAAUCUUCCGCAAUGGGCGAAAGCCUGACGGAGCAACGCCGCGUGAGUGAUGAAGGUCUUCGGAUCGUAAAACUCUGUUAUUAGGGAAGAACAUACGUGUAGGUAACUGUGCACGUCUUGACGGUACCUAAUCAGAAAGCCACGGCUAACUACGUG
rnacentral:rRNA from 1 species